rnacentral:miRNA from 1 species
GAGGUGGGAGGAUGGCUUGAGCUCAGGAGGUUGAGGCUGCAGUAAGUUGUGAUCAUGCCACUGAACUCCAGCCUGGGCAACAGAACAAGACCUUGUCUC